rnacentral:lncRNA from 1 species
UGAGGUCUUUCUUCUUUUUUUACCAGUUUUUCCAGUGUUUAGAGUUGUCUCAAGGAAGAACUGUGAUGUGCGUCGUGACAGGGCAUAGAGCCAGGAAUUCGAGCUCAAGCGUGGCCAUUUCUGCUUGGAAUGUAAGUGUGUUACAAAUCCUUUCAUACGUUCAAAGUUUCAAAGUUUGUCAUACCUUCCAUCAGAUACGAGGUUGAUAGCACCGAGGCAGAAAGAAAGGAACAAGAUGCGAAGCUAAGGUAACGAGCAAGUUUCCGAAGAUCCCAUACGCAAAAAAACUAAACUUUGCUUGGAAACUCGCCUGCAGGAAGGAAUACGAAAAGAUACGAAGCUACUGCCAAGAAAUCAAGCAAUCACUCACGUCCAGAAGAGAAGGAGAGCAUCAACAAGAUGGCAUGGAAGAACAAGCAGAAGAAGAACACAAACUCAUGCCAUUCUCCGAGAGCCAGAUCGAAGCAUUCAGCAGCAUCAACGACAGCAGCGCGUUCUGGAAGAAAGGACCCAAGGCAGUGGACGACAUAGUUACCUGGCAAAGGAUCAUCCGCCUGGACGCCGUCCGGAUGAACGCCGAGUGGGUUCCAUACUCUCCGUCCCAGGCCAACGUGAGCGACGAGGAGACGUCCAA